GACGAACGCUGGCGGCGUGCUUAACACAUGCAAGUCGAACGGUAAGGCCCCUUCGGGGGUACACGAGUGGCGAACGGGUGAGUAACACGUGGGUGAUCUGCCCUGCACUCUGGGAUAAGCCUGGGAAACUGGGACUAAUACCGGAUAUGAGCUCCUGUCGCAUGGCGGGGGUUGGAAAGGUUUACUGGUGCAGGAUGGGCCCGCGGCCUAUCAGCUUGUUGGUGGGGUAAUGGCCUACCAAGGCGACGACGGGUAGCCGGCCUGAGAGGGCGACCGGCCACACUGGGACUGAGACACGGCCCAGACUCCUACGGGAGGCAGCAGUGGGGAAUAUUGCACAAUGGGCGAAAGCCUGAUGCAGCGACGCCGCGUGAGGGAUGACGGCCUUCGGGUUGUAAACCUCUUUCAGCAGGGACGAAGCGAGAGUGACGGUACCUGCAGAAGAAGCACCGGCCAACUACGUGCCAGCCGCCGCCGUAA
rnacentral:rRNA from 1 species